GUAAUUCAUCUUUUCUCAUUGUCAAACGCCUAUUCCAACGGAACGACUCCUCAACUCCGACAACCCUCACUUCCGCCGGAGUGUUCCCGUCUUUAACAUACCGCCACUGCAUUAUCGUUUUUCACUUCAUAACUGUAUCUUUCAGAAGCGAACCCACUGUAGUUCGUACGUUGUGGUUUCAUAGAUCUGGAAACGCCCCAGCGCGGGAUCUGAACCGGAGAAGGUGUUUCGUCGUAGGAGACGGUGAAAGAGGAGGCUCCGGCGGCGAGACUGUCCGGUGGAGAAGAGAAAAG